rnacentral:rRNA from 1 species
ACGAACGCUGGCGGCAGGCCUAACACAUGCAAGUCGAGCGAGCAUUUCGGUGCUAGCGGCGGACGGGUGAGUAACGCGUGGGAACGUGCCCUUUUCUGCGGAAUAGUCCUGGGAAACUGGGGGUAAUACCGCAUACGCCCUUUUGGGGAAAGAUUUAUCGGAGAAGGAUCGGCCCGCGUUGGAUUAGGUAGUUGGUGGGGUAAUGGCCCACCAAGCCGACGAUCCAUAGCUGGUUUGAGAGGAUGAUCAGCCACACUGGGACUGAGACACGGCCCAGACUCCUACGGGAGGCAGCAGUGGGGAAUCUUAGACAAUGGGGGCAACCCUGAUCGAGCCAUGCCGCGUGAGUGAUGAAGGCCUUAGGGUUGUAAAGCUCUUUCAGCUGGGAAGAUAAUGACGGUACCAGCAGAAGAAGCCCCGGCUAACUCCGUG